GGCUGGUAUGAGGCAGUGAUGUUUGCAACUAAUUGAUCACAACCAGUUACAGAUUCCUUUGUUCCUUCUCCACUCCCACUGCUUCACUUCACUUCACUAGCCUUUA
ensembl:misc_RNA Y_RNA Y RNA